UUCGCAAUGCCCGAAAGGGUGACGAAGCGACGCCGCGUGGGUGAGGAAGGCCUUCGGGUUGUAAAACCCUGUCAGGAGUUAUGAAAUGUAAGUGCGCUAAUAUCGUUCUUAUUUGACAAAGGCUCCAAAGGAAGCCACGGCUAACUCUGUGCCAGCAGCCGCGGUAAUACAGAGGUGGCGAGCGUUGUUCGGAAUUAUUGGGCGUAAAGAGCACGUAGGUGGAUUUGUAAGUCAGAUGUGAAAGCCUUCUGUUCAACGGAAGAAUUGCAUCUGAAACUACAAACCUUGAGUAUAGGAGGGGAGAGUGGAACUUCUGGUGG
rnacentral:rRNA from 1 species